rnacentral:rRNA from 1 species
UACGAAGGGGGCUAGCGUUGCUCGGAAUCACUGGGCGUAAAGCGCACGUAGGCGGCUUUCUAAGUCAGGGGUGAAAUCCUGGAGCUCAACUCCAGAACUGCCUUUGAUACUGGAGAGCUUGAGUCCGGGAGAGGUGAGUGGAACUCCGAGUGUAGAGGUGAAAUUCGUAGAUAUUCGGAAGAACACCAGUGGCGAAGGCGGCUCACUGGCCCGGUACUCGACGCUGAUGUGCGAAAGCGUGGGGAGCAACAGGG